rnacentral:misc_RNA from 1 species
AAGGAAGAUGUCUCCACGAUAGGAUCAGGAUGCGGAGGUCCAAUAGAUAGCUUGGGAGGCCGGUAGUCCAUAAAAGUUUCUCCAACCAUGCCACCCUCGUCUUCUUCACGUUCUACUUCAAUGGCCACCUCAUUGACUUCUUCCUCAGGCAGAGGUGGCGCAGGGGGACGGGGAGCAGCAGGAUUCGAUGACGACUGAGGAAGAAAUUGCCUAAUCUUAGAUACAUCAACGGCAAGGUCGAUCCCACAUUGAGGGCAGGAGAAGCGAGACAGGCCGUGAGGGACAUUGAGUAUAGCUUUGCAGUGAGCGCAGGGCAACUGGAUCUUGGUAGGAUCAAUUCCAUGAGCCAGGGCACUGCUUCGCUGCUGCUGAGGCAUGAGUUCCGGAGGUAGCAUCUGCGGCAAUUGACAAGUAGGGCAUAUAAACUCUGUCAGUCCGGGAGCGACUGUCAAAAUCAUCUUACAACCAGCACAUCGAACUUGACAACCUCCUCCACUAUCUGAACUACUCGCCGACGGUGGUGGUAGAGAUGGAAGAUUAACUGAAGGUGUCGGCACCGAUUGCUGUCCCAUAUUAUUACUAUAUGUAUUAACAAACGUUGAAAUCAAAAUGUACUGAAAUGUUGUGACUGAAUUCAGUAGUGACGAUGCGAGAACAGAAGUUUCCGUCAACUAAACAGCCGGCGGAGGAGGCCGGCGAUGUCCGGUGAGUUUUGGGUUGUCCUUAAUUCAUG